rnacentral:rRNA from 1 species
AUUGAACGCUGGCGGAAUGCUUUACACAUGCAAGUCGAGCGGCAGCACGGGGGCAACCCUGGUGGCGAGCAGCGAACGGGUGAGUAAUACAUCGGAACAUGCCCAGUCGUGGGGGAUAACACUUCGAAAGAAGUGCUAAUACCGCAUACGUCCUGAGGGAGAAAGCGGGGGAUCUUCGGACCUCGCGCGAUUGGAGUGGCCGAUGUCAGAUUAGCUAGUUGGUGGGGUAAAGGCCUACCAAGGCAACGAUCUGUAGCUGGUCUGAGAGGAUGAUCAGCCACGAUGGGACUGAGACACGGCCCAGACUCCUACGGGAGGCAGCAGUGGGGAAUUUUGGAAAAUGGGGGCAACCCUGAUCCAGCCAUUCCGCGUGAGUGAAGAAGGCCUUCGGGUUGUAAAGCUCUUUCGGCAGGAACGAAACGGCGAGCUCUAACAUAGCUUGCUAAUGACGGUACCUGAAGAAGAAGCACCGGCUAACUACGUGCCAGCCGCCGCCGUAACAC